rnacentral:rRNA from 1 species
GAUGAACGCUGGCGGCGUGCCUAAUACAUGCAAGUCGAGCGAACGGACGAGAAGCUUGCUUCUCUGAUGUUAGCGGCGGACGGGUGAGUAACACGUGGAUAACCUACCUAUAAGACUGGGAUAACUUCGGGAAACCGGAGCUAAUACCGGAUAAUAUUUUGAACCGCAUGGUUCAAAAGUGAAAGACGGUCUUGCUGUCACUUAUAGAUGGAUCCGCGCUGCAUUAGCUAGUUGGUAAGGUAACGGCUUACCAAGGCAACGAUGCAUAGCCGACCUGAGAGGGUGAGCGGCCACACUGGAACUGAGACACGGUCCAGACUCCUACGGGAGGCAGCAGUAGGGAAUCUUCCGCAAUGGGCGAAAGCCUGACGGAGCAACGCCGCGUGAGUGAUGAAGGUCUUCGGAUCGUAAAACUCUGUUAUUAGGGAAGAACAUAUGUGUAAGUAACUGUGCACAUCUUGACGGUACCUAAUCAGAAAGCCACGGCUAACUACGUG